rnacentral:rRNA from 1 species
UACGUAGGGCGCAAGCGUUAUCCGGAAUUAUUGGGCGUAAAGAGCUCGUAGGCGGUUUGUCGCGUCUGCCGUGAAAGUCCGGGGCUCAACUCCGGAUCUGCGGUGGGUACGGGCAGACUAGAGUGAUGUAGGGGAGACUGGAAUUCCUGGUGUAGCGGUGAAAUGCGCAGAUAUCAGGAGGAACACCGAUGGCGAAGGCAGGUCUCUGGGCAUUAACUGACGCUGAGGAGCGAAGGCAUGGGGAGCGAACAGG